GCGCGCGUGGCGGAAUUGGCAGACGCACUAGAUUUAGGUUCUAGCGGGAAACCGUGGGGGUUCAAGUCCCUCCGUGCGCACCA
rnacentral:tRNA from 2 species